GAACAAUACUUUCUGGUGCAGCGCGUUCCAACUGACCAGAAAGUGUGAUUGGCGCUUAUUGCCAUGUCAGGACGCUCGAUGUUUUGGGCGCAGUGGGUGCUGCGUCGCUCCGCAACCAUACCAUGGGAUCAGUUCACGCAGGAGUUAAUAGAGCGGUUUGGCGAUAGCUCGGCUAUCAAUGCUUAUGAGGCCAUGCACGUGACCCGUCA
rnacentral:lncRNA from 1 species